AUUGAACGCUGGCGGCAGGCCCAACACAUGCAAGUCGAGCGGAUGAAGGGAGCUUGCUCCUGGAUUCAGCGGCGGACGGGUGAGUAAUGCCUAGGAAUCUGCCUGGUAGUGGGGGAUAACGUCCGGAAACGGGCGCUAAUACCGCAUACGUCCUGAGGGAGAAAGUGGGGGAUCUUCGGACCUCACGCUAUCAGAUGAGCCUAGGUCGGAUUAGCUAGUUGGUGGGGUAAAGGCCUACCAAGGCGACGAUCCGUAACUGGUCUGAGAGGAUGAUCAGUCACACUGGAACUGAGACACGGUCCAGACUCCUACGGGAGGCAGCAGUGGGGAAUAUUGGACAAUGGGCGAAAGCCUGAUCCAGCCAUGCCGCGUGUGUGAAGAAGGUCUUCGGAUUGUAAAGCUCUUUAAGUUGGGAGGAAGGGCAGUAAGUUAAUACCUUGCUGUUUUGACGUUACCAACAGAAUAAGCACCGGCUAACUUCGUG
rnacentral:rRNA from 1 species